UCCUCUGCUGUGACGGCUCACCAGCCUAGGGAACCUCGGGAGUCCACAGGUUCACCUCAGCCCAGGAUGGCUCACCAGCAGGAGGAGUGCUCCCCCCCGCUGAACACCGUCCGGUUCAGCAGUGUGGACUACAAGCUUGCUCCUGAGCCUAACACGGUA